rnacentral:tRNA from 1 species
UGGAGAGGUGGCAGAGUGGUCGAAUGCGCUCGACUUGAAAUCGAGUUUCCCGAAAGGGAACGGGGGUUCGAAUCCCUCCCUCUCCGU